rnacentral:rRNA from 1 species
GACGAACGCUGGCGGCGCGCUUAACACAUGCAAGUCGAACGGAAAGGCCUGCUUUCCCUUGUGGAUUGCGGGUACUCGAGUGGCGAACGGGUGAGUAACACGUGAGUGAUCUGCCCCCAACUUGGGUAUAAGCCUGGGAAACUGGGUCUAAUUCCCGAUAGGACUGCAGGGUGGUGCCUGCGGUGGAAAACGAUUUUCUAGUGGUUGGGGAUGAGCUCGCGGCCUAUCAGCUUGUUGGUGGGGUAAUGGCCUACCAAGGCGGCGACGGGUAGCCGGCCUGAGAGGGUGGACGGCCACAUUGGGACUGAGAUACGGCCCAGACUCCUACGGGAGGCGGCAGUGGGGAAUAUUGCACAAUGGGCGGAAGCCUGAUGCAGCGACGCCGCGUGGGGGAUGACGGCCUUCGGGUUGUAAACUCCUUUCGACCGCGAGGAAGCCACCUGGUUGGAAGGGUGGUGACGGUAGUGGUAGAAGAAGCACCGGCUAACUACGUG